AGCAACAAAUGCCCUGCUUCCAGGAAAAGCCUCUAAGCAUCAGGUAACAUCAAAUCGUACCCCAAACCGACACAGGUGGUCAGGUAGAGAAUACCAAGGCGCUUGAGAGAACUCGGGUGAAGGAACUAGGCAAAAUGGUGCCGUAACUUCGGGAGAAGGCACGCUGACACGUAGGUGAAGUGAUUUACUCAUGGAGCUGAAGUCAGUCGAAGAUACCAGCUGGCUGCAACUGUUUAUUAAAAACACAGCACUGUGCAAACACGAAAGUGGACGUAUACGGUGUGACGCCUGCCCGGUGCCGGAAGGUUAAUUGAUGGGGUCAGCGCAAGCGAAGCUCCUGAUCGAAGCCCCGGUAAACGGCGGCCGUAACUAUAACGGUCCUAAGGUAGCGAAAUUCCUUGUCGGGUAAGUUCCGACCUGCACGAAUGGCGUAAUGAUGGCCAGGCUGUCUCCACCCGAGACUCAGUGAAAUUGAACUCGCUGUGAAGAUGCAGUGUACCCGCGGCAAGACGGAAAGACCCCGUGAACCUUUACUAUAGCUUGACACUGAACAUUGAGCCUUGAUGUGUAGGAUAGGUGGGAGGCUUUGAAGUGUGGACGCCAGUCUGCAUGGAGCCGACCUUGAAAUACCACCCUUUAAUGUUUGAUGUUCUAACGUGGACCCGUAAUCCGGGUUGCGGACAGUGUCUGGUGGGUAGUUUGACUGGGGCGGUCUCCUCCUAAAGAGUAACGGAGGAGCACGAAGGUUGGCUAAUCCUGGUCGGACAUCAGGAGGUUAGUGCAAUGGCAUAAGCCAGCUUGACUGCGAGCGUGACGGCGCGAGCAGGUGCGAAAGCAGGUCAUAGUGAUCCGGUGGUUCUGAAUGGAAGGGCCAUCGCUCAACGGAUAAAAGGUACUCCGGGGAUAACAGGCUGAUACCGCCCAAGAGUUCAUAUCGACGGCGGUGUUUGGCACCUCGAUGUCGGCUCAUCACAUCCUGGGGCUGAAGUAGGUCCCAAGGGUAUGGCUGUUCGCCAUUUAAAGUGGUACGCGAGCUGGGUUUAGAACGUCGUGAGACAGUUCGGUCCCUAUCUGCCGUGGGCGCUGGAGAACUGAGGGGGGCUGCUCCUAGUACGAGAGGACCGGAGUGGACGCAUCACUGGUGUUCGGGUUGUCAUGCCAAUGGCACUGCCCGGUAGCUAAAUGCGGAAGAGAUAAGUGCUGAAAGCAUCUAAGCACGAAACUUGCCCCGAGAUGAGUUCUCCCUGAGACUUUAGGUCUCCUGAAGGAACGUUGAAGACGACGACGUUGAUAGGCCGGGUGUGUAAGCGCAGCGAUGCGUUGAGCUAACCGGUACUAAUGAACCGUGAGGCUUAACCUUACAACGCCGAAG
rnacentral:rRNA from 2 species